UGGACAAUGGGCGCAAGCCUGAUCCAGCAAUGCCGCGUGCAGGAUGAAGGCCUUCGGGUUGUAAACUGCUUUUGUACGGAACGAAAAAGCUCUCUCGAAUACAGGGGGUGAAUGACGGUACCGUAAGAAUAAGCACCGGCUAACUACGUGCCAGCAGCCGCGGUAAUACGUGGGGUGCGAGCGUUAAUCGGAAUUACUGGGCGUAAAGCGUGCGCAGGCGGUUUUGUAAGACAGAGGUGAAAUCCCCGGGCUCAACCUGGGAACUGCCUUUGUGACUGCAAGGCUGGAGUGCGGCAGAGGGGGAUGGAAUUCCGCGUGUAGCAGUGAAAUGCGUAGAUAUGCGGAGGAACACCGAUGGCGAAGGCAAUCCCCUGGGCCUGCACUGACGCUCAUGCACGAAAGCGUGGGGAGCAAACA
rnacentral:rRNA from 1 species